AUACCAUGAUGAGGACAUCUUCUGAGUAACUCCUUAAAUCUUUCCCAUGUAUAAUAUAAGCUCUCAUCUUUUAGUUGAUGGAAAGAUGUGAUCUCGUUCCUCGAUUUU
rfam:Citrus clementina cultivar Clemenules unplaced genomic scaffold scaffold_5, whole genome shotgun sequence.